UUCUUGCUGUGACAGAUCUCACCUGCGUCACGGGGGGCCGGCGUGUGGGGCCCGGCUUUGAUUGAACGUGGGACAGUUUGUUUUUCACAGUAAAAAGCGGGGACAGGGGUGUUAGUGAAAGCUACAAAUACCUGGAUGAGCUGGGUCCAAUUCCCAGCUGUGCCACAGACUCCCUGGUGACUGCACGGCACGGCUCUGUGCCUCGGUUUCCCCACCCGUACAAUGCGGAUAAUGAAUCUACUUUGGUCUGGCUUGUGAGUUCAGACCGGGAGUGCUUGGGGCAAGGAUUGUCUCAGUGGGUCUGGGCAGUGCCUGGCACAACGGGGGCCACUGGCGUAGCUAGGGGGAGCGAACAGGGCCACCUGCUUGUACUCACCGGGUGGCGCGCCGGGUCCUCGGUGGCCCUGAAGGCCCCUGCCGCUGAAAUGCCGCCGAGGACCCAGAGCGACUGAAGGCCCCCGCCGAGCCGGACCCCGUGAAGACCCCCCCUGCCGAAGACCCGGAGCGUCUCUGGCCUGCCCGCCCCGCCGAGCGCAGCCACAACCUGCAGCCAGGGGCCAGGGAGCCCUGCCAGGCCAGACGGCUCAGCGCUCCGGACCAUGGAGCCUCGUUGGAGCCACAUCGCUGCCCUCUGCACCCUGCUGGCCUGGGCCACCUGCACCACGCAGGAGGGAGCCGGACCCGACAAUGGCUUCAACAUCCAAGCUGCCCUGCUUCUGGGUGAGGAGCCCCUGGACCCCAAAUGUUUCACGCGCUGCCUGGAGGACCUGACCUGCUUCUGGGAGAGCAGCAGCCCCCCGAGCGCCACGGAAUACGGCUUCUUCUAUGUCGUGGAGGGGGACGCCCCGCAGCGCUGCAACCUGAGCGUGGCCCGGACGCCCUGGAACAGCACCCGCUUCACCUGCAUCUUCCCCCCCCAGGACACCCCGUCUUUCACCCCCCUGCACGUUGGUGCCUACACUGGCAACAGCAGCAACAUCGUCCACGCCCGCACCAUCAUGGUCAACCAAGUGGUUCUCCUGGACCCUCCGUCCAACCUGACGGCGCGUGCAACCGAGAGCCCGGGGCAGCUGACGGUGAGCUGGCAGCCGCCCAGCCUCCGCUACCUGGAGAGCAGCCUGCGCUACGAGGUGGCCUUCGCCCCCGAGGGCGCCGAGCGCCAGAUGGUCGACAUCCCCGACGGCCGCACCGAGUGCCUGAUCCUCAACCUGCGGGGCCGGACCCGCUACGCCCUGGCCGUGCGCGUCAAGCCCGACGGCGUCAGCUACAGCGGCUACUGGAGUGCCUGGUCGGCGCCGGUCACCGUGGUGACGCCCCACGAUCUGGACCCCCUGAUCCUGUCGCUGUCGCUCAUCCUGGUGCUCAUCGUGGUGCUCCUGGCCCUCUUUGCCCUGCUCACCCACCGCAGGUUUUUGAAGAAGCAGCUGUGGCCUGUGAUUCCCAGCCCGGAGCACAAAUUCGAGGGGCUUUUCACCCUCUACAAGGGGAACUUCCAGCUCUGGCUGGGACAAAGGAACGCCUGCCUCUGGUGGAGUGGGAACCCUGGCUACUUGGAGGAGCAGCCCAGCCUGCUGGAGGUGCUGUCCGAGGGCCGCGAAUCCAAGGCGGAGGGGCCGGUGCCCCCUCUGCCCCUCAAAGCCCAGGGCUCGGCUCUGCCCAGCCGCCCUCAGCUGCCCGCAGAGCCCCAGGGCGACUACCUGGUGCUGGAUGAACAGCUGAUGCCAUGCAGCCUGGGCGAGGACUCUCUGCUCCUGCUGGAUGCCUGGAGCAGUGCGGGCGUUGAAGCCCCCCCUGCCGUGGGGCAGGAGCUGGGCCCCCCGGGGGCCACACCGGAGCCUGUCCCGGGGGAGCAGGUCUCGUCCUCUUCCAGCUUCGAGUACACCGUCUUCGACCCCAGUUCGGAGCUGCUGGCACCCUGUGGGCAUCAGCGCCCGCUCAAAUACAGCUACUUGCUGGUGUCCGACUCCGGGAUCUCUGCUGACUACGGCCCCCUGGGCACCAGCACCAACCGGCCCAACCUCUACACCAACCUGUGCCAGGAUGGGGGCCAGGCCCAGCCCUUCCCAGCCAGCUACGUGGUGUGCUCAUAGUGCCGGCGGAUGGGCAGGGGACUCCGGGCCUGGCGAACAGAGAUGGACCCCCAGGUCUGCCAGACGUGGAGGAAACUCCUUCCCGGCAGGACGUCGCGGGGACCCCGUCCCGGCAGGAGGUUCAGAGACCUGGGAGGAGGCUCCACGGCUCCGGGAUGCCCCGUUACGUCAGCUCAGUCUGAAACCAAUCAAGCUCCGACUUCAAACCGGUUCAGCAUUUCCCCCUCACUGCUCCUCCAGGGGACUGCCGCCUUCUCUGCUGGGUAGAAACCUGCUUCCCCAUCUGUGCCUGGACCAGCCUUGUCAGGCCAGCUUAGAGCGAGGGAGACGCAGGGGGAAAAGAUGCCGGGGGAGAGACUGGAACCCCUUUAGGCAGGAACUGGCUUUGUGAUUGGAGUUUGUACAGCACCUAGCACAAUGGGAUCCUGGACACUGCCAUCAUACAGAUAAAUCAUGUUUUCCGUUCCUCGUAGCAGGGCCUGAGGAUCGCGACACCGGUUAAAGCCAGCGUGCAUGGCUGCCUGUCCCGCGUGCUGGGGUCUUGCACGUGCCCGGCCCAAGUGCAAGGAAACGUGGCAACGAGCCCUGGGCGCUGCUGGCUCUCCCGUGCCACUAAGCGUCAAUGACUCCACUGGCUCUCAGCCCGGGCGCUGGCAGAAACACCGUGGCGUAGCUCGAACGGGCGGCAGACAGUGCCGGGGUGCCAGGGGCGGAAUCGGGGGAGUAGCUCUGCUUGGAUCCAGCCUCCCACCAGCGUGAGGACCACCCCCCACCCUCCAAACAGCCCCACAGGCAGGCAGCAGGCAGAACCCUUUGGCUCAGCGCCCGUCCCCACCUGAUAGCGAUUAUCUCCACAGCAACCAGCCCCCCUCCCCCCCCCCCCCCCCCGGGCAUUAUCAGCAGCAGCUCAGCUUGUGGCAGGCAGCGGAAGCCCAGCCAAGCGCUGACUCUCGGCAGGGACGGGCGCCGAUCCAACAUCGGCAGGGUGAGCCCCUUGGGACGGGAGCCCGUCGGGAGAGCCGGGAGGGGGCAGGAGCUGAAGGCUCCAGGGGCUGCUGGGCCUGAUUCGUGGCUUCACCGUCCUUGUGCCAAUGCCCCCAGCCCUGUGCCAGAUCAGCUCCAUGGCACUGAGCCAGCUGGGAGGGACAUUCGUGGCUGUGGAAGGGGAGUGCGGUCUAGUGGGUUAGAACAGGAGAGGGAGGGCCUGGGAGCCAGGACUCCUGGGUUCUACUCCCAGAUCUGGGAGGGGCUGGAGUCAGGUUUUAUUACUGGCUCUGGACCGGGAGUAGGGGCUAACGCUCAGAGCAGGGGAAAUGACUCGAGGUCAGACAGCAGGUGAGUGGCAAGAGCCAGGAACAGAGGCCCGAUCUCCUCCGCUCCGAGCCCUGCAUCCUACGCACUGGAACAGAUGGGCUCCCCCUCAGAGUUGGGCGCAGCUAAUUGGUCAGGUCACCCCACCUCUUCAGAGAGCCGAAACCCUGGAAAAUAAAUUAGAUUCAGGGGUAGAGACUGCACAUUAUGCUGUCUGUGCAGCACCUGGCGCGAUGUGGGGGCAGGCCCGAUCUCGGCUGCUCCUUCGGCGGUACUGGAAUAAACAGAUUUGUAUUGUUGAA